rnacentral:rRNA from 1 species
AUUGAACGCUGGCGGCAGGCUUAACACAUGCAAGUCGAGCGGGGGAAGGUAGCUUGCUACCGGACCUAGCGGCGGACGGGUGAGUAAUGCUUAGGAAUCUGCCUAUUAGUGGGGGACAACAUCUCGAAAGGGAUGCUAAUACCGCAUACGUCCUACGGGAGAAAGCAGGGGAUCUUCGGACCUUGCGCUAAUAGAUGAGCCUCAGUCGGAUUAGCUAGUUGGUGGGGUAAAGGCCUAGCAAGGCGACGAUCUGUAGCGGGUCUGAGAGGAUGAUCCGCCACACUGGGACUGAGACACGGCCCAGACUCCUACGGGAGGCAGCAGUGGGGAAUAUUGGACAAUGGGGGGAACCCUGAUCCAGCCAUGCCGCGUGUGUGAAGAAGGCCUUAUGGUUGUAAAGCACUUUAAGCGAGGAGGAGGCUACUUUAGUUAAUACCUAGAGAUAGUGGACGUUACUCGCAGAAUAAGCACCGGCUAACUCUGUGCCAGCCGCCGCAGUAA